GCAGAGGUCGCUUAGCCAGGUAGAGCGCUGGACUUGAGAUCCAGUGAGUCUCGACUCACGGGUGUUCGAAUCACCCUCUCUGCG
rnacentral:tRNA from 1 species